UCCUACGGGAGGCAGCAGUGGGGAAUAUUGCACAAUGGGCGAAAGCCUGAUGCAGCAACGCCGCGUGCGGGAUGAAGGCCCUAGGGUUGUAAACCGCUUUCAGCAGGGAAGAAAAUGACGGUACCUGUAGAAGAAGGUGCGGCCAACUACGUGCCAGCAGCCGCGGUGACACGUAGGCACCAAGCGUUGUCCGGAUUUAUUGGGCGUAAAGAGCUCGUAGACGGUUCAGUAAGUCGGGUGUGAAAACUCUGGGCUCAACCCAGAGACGCCACCCGAUACUGCUGUGACUAGAGUGCGGUAGGGGAGCGGGGAAUUCCUAGUGUAGCGGUGAAAUGCGCAGAUAUUAGGAGGAACACCAGUGGCGAAGGCGCCGCUCUGGGCCGUAACUGACGCUGAGGAGCGAAAGCGUGGGUAGCAAACAGGAUUAGAUACCCUGGUAGUCCACGCCGUAAACGUUGGGCACUAGGUGUGGGUCUCAACCAACGAGAUCCGCGCCGUCGCUAACGCAUUAAGUGCCCCGCCUGGGGAGUACGGUCGCAAGGCUAAAACUCAAAUGAAUUGACGGA
rnacentral:rRNA from 1 species